rnacentral:sRNA from 1 species
CCUUAUAGCUGCCAUUGGCUCAGAACUUGCUCAGUGUGCCUGUGCAUCUUGCUGUAGCUACUGGACAUCUCUGUUCUCUCCUGCUUUUCUUUCCUGACUAGGUGACCUGUCCAGGAAGGAUUAGACCCUGUACUCUCCAUUCUUUCCUCACCUCCUUCCUUUUUUCUAUGCCUGGCAGGAGCUGGACAGUUUCAUCUCUUGCAUGUAUCGAAGGAUGACCGCAGUGAUGUGGAGAGCAGCUCAGAGGAAGAAGAUGUGACCACCUGCACAAAAAGUCCCUGUGACAGUAGCUCCAGCAAUGGUGCCAAUCGGGUGAAUGGUCACAUGGGAGGCAGCUACUGGGCUGAAGAGUAAGGUGGUUGCUAUGGGGACUUCAGCACACAUGGACUUGUAGGGCCACUGGCAACAUACUCCUCUUGGCCCUUCCCAUAUCUACUCUUCUGUGAUUGGGAGACUGCAAGGCACUGAGGAGUAUCAAAGAAGCAAAUAUUUUCACUUUGAAAGAAAACUGCCAUUUUGUAUUUAAUAGUCUCCAGGUUCUUUCAGUAAUGUUAUUUGCUCUGUGUGUUUUUGUGUGUUUGUUGAUGUGCGUUUGUGCAUAUGCGUGAGUUUCAUUGCCGGGUUGGGGCACAAUUGUGGACUGGGGCCGUGAGGCCUUCCCUGGUCCCCACUGAACCCACCUUAGUUCCACAUUUGGCUGCAUCUUGAAUUAUGCCGACUCCAGACUGUCUCCUCCUUUUUUGCCCUUGGCUCUUGACACUCUAAACCCCUGGACCAUCUGAAUGGAGCAGUCAAGUGCAGUCCCAGAUUUCUGUACUGUUCCUCUUUCACAGCUGGAAUAUGUCACAUGAUGAAGUUGUAUAGAAACAGAACCAUGGAUGGAUGGCCAGGAUUGCCGUGGUCCCUAGCUAGAUCCCCUUCCUAUCAAUCACCUGAUAGCAACAGGGACAGCUGCCAAUACCCUGCUCUUUACUCAAUGGUACCCAGGGAGGGAGCAUGGGAAGAGGGUGAGCUGAGGGCUGGGGGAGGGCAACAGCCACU